rnacentral:rRNA from 1 species
UCCGUGAGGCAACUGGUGGAGAGAUCAGAAGCGAGAAUGUUGACAUGAGUAGCGACAAACAGGGUGAGAGACCCUGUCGCCGUAAAUCCAAGGGUUCCUGCUUAAAGCUAAUCUGAGCAGGGUAAGCCGGCCCCUAAGGCGAGGCCGAAAGGCGUAGUCGAUGGGAACAUGGUUAAUAUUCCGCGGCCAGGAGGAAGUGACGGAUCUCAAAGAUUGUCUGCCCUUAUCGGAUUGGGUGGGCCGUUCAGAGGUCCCUGGAAAUAGCCCUCCAUCAGACCGUACCCUAAACCGACACAGGUGGACUGGUAGAGUAUACCAAGGCGCUUGAGAGAACCACGUUAAAGGAACUCGGCAAAAUGCCUCCGUAAGUUCGCGAGAAGGAGGCCCCGUCUGUAGGCAACUAUAGGCGGGGGGCACAAACUAGGGGGUGGCGACUGUUUACUUAAAACACAGGGCUCUGCGAAGCCGUAAGGCGACGUAUAGGGUCUGACGCCUGCCCGGUGCUGGAAGGUUAAAAGGAGGGGUGCAAGCUCUGAAUUGAAGCCCCAGUAAACGGCGGCCGUAACAAUAACGGUCCUAAGGUAGCGAAAUUCCUUGUCGGGUAAGUUCCGACCUGCACGAUGGCGUAACGAUCUCCCCGCUGUCUCUAACGUGGACUCAGCGAAAUUGAACUGUGUGUCAAGAUGCACACUACCCGCGGUUAGACGGAAAGACCCCAUGAACCUUUACUCCAGCUUUGCACUGGCAUCAGGAUUGCGAUGUGCAGGAUAGGUGGUAGCCUUUGAAGCGGGGACGCUAGUUCCCGUGGAGGCUCCCUUGAGAUACCACCCUUCGCACUCUUGAAGUCUAACCGCGGCCCGUUAUCCGGGUCCGGGACCCUGCAUGGUGGGGAGUUUGACUGGGGCGGUCGCCUCCCAAACAGUAACGGAGGCGCGCGAAGGUAGGCUCAGACCGGUCGGAAAUCGGUCGUUGAGUGCAAUGGCAGAAGCCUGCCUGACUGCAAGACUGACAAGUCGAGCAGAGACGAAAGUCGGUCAUAGUGAUCCGGUGGUCCCAAGUGGGAGGGCCAUCGCUCAACGGAUAAAAGGUACUCUGGGGAUAACAGGCUGAUGAUGCCCAAGAGUCCAUAUCGACGGCAUCGUUUGGCACCUCGAUGUCGGCUCAUCUCAUCCUGGGGCUGGAGCAGGUCCCAAGGGUAUGGCUGUUCGCCAUUUAAAGAGGUACGUGAGCUGGGUUUAGAACGUCGUGAGACAGUUCGGUCCCUAUCUGCCGUGGGUGUAGGAGACUUGAGAAGAGUUGCCCCUAGUACGAGAGGACCGGGGUGAACGAACCACUGGUGGACCAGUUGUCGUGCCAACGGUAGUGCUGGGUAGCUAUGUUCGGACAGGAUAACCGCUGAAGGCAUCUAAGCGGGAAGCCCCCUUCAAAACAAGGUCUCCCUUGAGGGCCGUGGAAGACCACCACGUCGAUAGGCCGGAGGUGUAAGUGCAGCAAUGCAUUCAGCUGACCGGUACUAAUUGCCC